rnacentral:rRNA from 1 species
CGGUGGCUAAUACCGCAUAAUGUCUACGGACCAAAGUGGGGGACCUUCAGGCCUCACACCUAGAGAUGGCCCCAAGUGGGAUUAGCUAGUUGGUGAGGUAAAGGCUCACCAAGGCGACGAUCCCUAGCUGUUCUGAGAGGAUGAUCAGCCACACUGGGACUGAGACACGGCCCACACUCCUACGGGAGGCAGCAGUGGGGAAUAUUGCACAAUGGGCGCAAGCCUGAUGCAGCCAUGCCGCGUGUGUGAAAAAGGCCUUCGGGUUGUAAAGCACUUUCAGUGGUGAGGAAGGUCAGUAAGUUAAUAGCUUGCUGAAUUGACGUUAGCCACAGAAGAAGCACCGGCUAACUCCGUGCCACCACGCGCGUUAAUACGAAGGGUGCAAGCGUUAAUCGAAUUUACUGGGCGUAAAGCGUACGUAGGCGGUGUGUUAACCAGGAUGUGAAAGCCCCGGUCUCAACCGGGGAAGUGCAUUCUGAGCUGGCACGCUAGAGUCCUGAAAAGGGUGGUAGAAUUUCCAGUGUAGCGGUGAAAUGCUUAAAUAUUGAAAGGAAU